rnacentral:lncRNA from 1 species
GCGCGGCUUAGCAUAAGAACUCUUUUACAGUAUCCCGGAAUUAAUAUGGACCAUCUAUUUCGCUCGAUCUAACGGAUGUGUUUAAUUGGUACUCCAACUUAAACGCGAGGGAGUACCACAUAAAAAAAACUGGGAGUACCUUACGUUUAGGGGUACAAUUGUAAUCUAGUGUCCAAUUCACACGAACACUCGCCAGAGAACGAACAACGAGGGAAAGACCGGGCACCCUGCAGAUGCACCGAGUUCUUCAAGUAUGGCCUGGGCUUGUGCCUCUCUUCCUCGCAGAUGUUCGCUCCGCCCUCCAAUGAUUGAUUGAUAGGCUGUGAAGGAUCCGAAAAGUUGCCGAUACAAGCAAUUGAUCUCACGUGAUUGAUUUGAUUGGAUUCAUGGUAGAGCUUAGCAAUGAUUUUUUCCCUGCACGUGUUCCAGCCUAGUUCGUUGCUUGGAUUGCUACCGUCAUGGUCGCAGUGGUGGGAAGGAGAACAGAUGCCGAUGGCGAAGCACGAUCUGGAGGUGGCGGCGGCCUGAUUAAUCUAUACCAAUAUAUUAAAUUGAAGUUGGUGGUGAUGGUACGAUCGUUGCGGUACGUCACUUCACCGAAAUUACGAAUCUGCCACCGCUGUCCCCACACGCAUUUUAAUCCCGGCUCCCGUGGUCCUCAAGCGUAGAAAAAAUACGUACCGCCCAAAAAAGAAAAAAACAACAACAGAGCCCUCCUUGCUCCUCCUAUCCUACGAAUCUCACCCCCACCCGACCUGGAUCUCGCCGGCGCCUGCCGCCGCUCUUGGUCGCCUCCACCAGCUCGUGCACGUUGGCAGCGUCCGUGUGCGGAAGACGGCUGCAGACCAAUG